rnacentral:lncRNA from 10 species
CCACAUCAGCCUCCCAAAGUGCUGGAAUUACAGUUGUGCGCCACUGCGCCCAGCCCAGGGUAUGCUCUGCAUUUGGACAUGUGAUGGACAGACUGCCUCCUGAGGUCUCCCUCUAGACAAAGUCUCACUUUGCCACCCAGGGCCAGAGUGCAGUGGCACCAUCAUAGCCCACUGCAGCCUCAGACUUCUGAGCUCAAGCAAUCCUCCUGCCACAGCCUGCCAAGGAGCUGGGACUACAGGCACAUGACAGUGUGCCCAGAUAAUUUUUUUUUUCAGAGACCAAGUCUUGUUAUGUUGCCCAGGCUGGUCUUGAACUCCUGGCCUCAAGUGAUCCUCUGGCCUCAGCCUCCCAAAGUGCUAGGAUUACAGAUGUGAGCCGCUGUGACUGUCCUCUCUCUGUUCUAAACCACACUCUGAUUUGCAUCUGCUGCAGGCAGACACAGCAAACAGAGAAGGGUAGGCCCUCAGCCCGUCCAGCCUCCACCCAAACCCCCCAUCCUCCUAGCCUGGCUCAGGCCCCAUUCUCUGGGGUGCCUCCUCUCCUGCUUCCCCAAAUGGAAGGCCCCAACUUCUAAAGCCUCUGGCCAAACCCUAGACUGCCUUCUAGACUGCACAGCAGGAUAAUACCAGCCAUGGAGAGAGAAGUCUGGAUGCCCUUUCAAGGAGCCUACAGCCAAGCUGUGCCUGCUUCAAGCUGAGCCAACCAUGUCUUCAUGGGGAGAACGGAGGGAAACUUAUGUGGCACUGUCGCCCAAUCCAAGGAAGUGGAGAUGGAAGUCACGAGCCAGGUGGACGGGUGUUGGCAGCAGACUGCACUGGACUUAAGCCUGUGGGGAUUAGCUUGGAGCCUCACCUAAGACCUGGGGGCCACUAAGAAGGCAGAACUCCUAGCAACCCACCGCCAAGGCCGUAGAAGGGUGGAACAGACCUCCAGGUGCAAUUACUCCCAAACCCACGGAGAAGAGGAGGCCCUUUAGGGCGUAUUGGGCUGUGAAGUGAAGAGCCGGGCUCAGACCUCAGGCUCCAGGAGGAGGCAGAGUGAGAACUGUUUUCUGUAUAUACUCAGAAGUUUCCUGAGGUCUUAAGAGUAGCAAGGUGAGAAAGGGAAGGUGUUGCUAUCCUAUCUAGGUGUACAGAGAGACACACACACCAAGGAUGGAGACGGUUUAUUGUUAUACCAAAAAUAUAUGUAUAUAUCUAUAUAUAUAUGCAGAAAUAAAGGAUCAGAAGGCUAUAAACC